ACUCUCGGCAACGGAUAUCUCGGCUCACGCAUCGAUGAAGAACGUAGCAAAAUGCGAUACUUGGUGUGAAUUGCAGAAUCCCGUGAACCAUCGAGUCUUUGAACGCAAGUUGCGCCCAAAGCCAUUUGGUUGAGGGCACGUCUGCCUGGGCGUCACACAUCGUGUCGC
rnacentral:rRNA from 1 species